AUGUGGUUUUACUAAGUUUAACCUUUUUGUAGCCCCUUUUCUUCUUUUUGAAAUAAGAAAUACACGAAGGAAUAGUUCUGACAUCUUACUAACAUCAGCAGAUACUAUUGGAUUUGUUGAAAACUGGGUUAAACCUAGUAAUGAACAAAGAUCUGAAACGCCAGAUUGAGGAAGAAUAAGGAAACUGAUAUGAACUUACUUCUAGUUAUGGCUUCUGUAGAGAAUCGCUCCAUCCGGAGUCUGGAGGAAGAACGGACAAGUGCUCUGACACCAGCCGUAGGGCUACUGUUCAUUUCAGAUCCGAGAGAGGUGAGGAAGUGUCGUGCUGGCUCCGUGCAGUCGUCCUUGCCAUACAUAGCGCAGGAGCAGGACGGGCUUUUCGUGUGUAACUGUGACCAUCUGCGCACGUGAGAGCCACAGGGACGUGGAUUGCUGACUGCGGACACUCUCUGUUCCUUUACUUGACGAUGACUCUGCAACCUGGUGCGCUCUGCUACUGCACUCUUUUUGUUUUACUUUAGCAAAUAAACCAAAGAUCGGAUGCACUAAAUUCCUUCUUUCGUGCGUAAUAGCCGCGCGGUAAGGCUACGGUGACGCGUUUUGCUUUUCAUCAUUGAGAGCGGGGCAAGUUUUCAAAGGCAUCGAUGAGCUACUGUCGGAGUGAGACUUUGGCAUCUGAGGGUACCUGUUGGAAUUAAAAAAAAUACAAACGUUACUUUAAAGGGAAACUGGAACGGUGCGUCUUCAGUGGAUUUUUUGCGCCUUGGUGACCCUCUUGUGGUGUGGUAUGACGGUGGAAACCAUGUUUUCAUGCAAUACGAGUGCCAUAAAGGACUGGAGCUACUUUCUGUCUCAGAUAUUGCCUUUAAUGAAUAAAACUACAGCCUCCGCUUUGUCGAUGGUCAACAUCGACAAAGCAGAGGCUGUGACGACCACUGUGGUGACAUCCUUGCAGCCGGACGGCGCCAUGAGCGCGAGUAAUCCCCCUAUCGACUCCAACCAUACCUCGGGCAUGGAGCACGUCUUUCAGUAUUCGUACUCGGAGAGUGACCUGCUGUACACGGACUACCGGACACCGGAGAGAGACCCCAUGCCUCUUCCCAAAGCGGUGCUCUACCUGGUCAUGGCAGCGCUGGUAGUAGUGGCAGUGGCGUAUGCGAUAGUUGGACACCUGGUCAAAGAUGUGGUGAAUGACUUCGUCGGUGGAGGCAGGUCGAUUGUUGGGGAAGGUGACGGUACAGAAACCAGUGAACCAGACUGGAUGUUUGGCUCUCGUCGUGCUGCCAACCGCAACAAGACCGAGGUUAACUCAAUCACCAACACCAUGAAUGAGAUGAGUGAGAGGCCCCCGCUGGUGGAAAUGAGCUACAUAUCCCUGAACCACACCAACCAUCUGAGCUCCACCAGACUGGAGGAGGUAGUGGUCACCAUAGAUGAGACACUACAGCAGCAACCUCCAAACACUCCCUCUGGGACUUAACUGCGACCUUCUGAUCUUCACUGAGAGAAAUCAAGCAGCGUCUUUGCUUGCUUUUUGUGUUAAAGUGGAUUUACAAGUCUGACACAAAUGGAAGCUUUAUCCACUGUUUCUUCACCUGCAGGUGGCUGUGUAAUGUUGGGCCAGAAGGUACUUGGAGGCAUGAGAUGCUGAUGUUUGUAUGUGACUUGAUUCUUUCUGGCUGAAAUGACAGAAGAGGGCAGCUAUAGCUUGUUUGGACAAGCAGCCGGAGAGACAACAGUUAUUUUUUCAUGCUUAGUCCUCAACAUGCCAACCCCUUUAUUUCUCCAAGUUACCCCUCAUCCGUUUAAAAUGAAAACACCAAUGCAAACAAUAUUUAAUCGCUCUAGAUAUACAAAACAUGCUGGUCAGUGCUUAUUGUAACAUUUCUGACAGCAAAGUGAAAAACUUCACCCUCAUAAGAACAGUUACAUUAACCCUUUCGUCAUUUUCGCUGAUGCUGCGAGAUGAGUUUUUGCAUAAUCAUCGUAAAUUUGUAUCUCUUUCUAUAUAACAAUACUGUAAUUACCAAAGGCAAGUCUAUUCUUAAAGAUUAAAUAACAUCAUUUGGUAGUUUCAUGGUAAUAGCUUGAUGUAAGAGGAAACAAGUGCUAAGUCACCUUCAAGAGCUCCGGUUAUAUCUGUUGUCAACUCUCUAAUCACAUCUAAGCACUCCUUUGAAGCAAAAAAUGUGCAUUGCUUUUUAUGUUAUUAAUGGUUACAUGUCACAUGGAAUGGCUUUUGUCAAAGCCUUUGUUUACCUUUAUUACCUCACUGUUAAGGGCUACAUACUGCUGCUGAUGACACUGCUCAAAGAUACAAAUAACGGGGCUUAUUUCUCCUUUGCAUGUGGUCCUUAUCCUCUGCACACAUGGAUCUACUAUAAACUGUGUCUUUGAAGGGUCUGUUCUACCUGAAAGUACUGAUGUCAGAACUCCAAUUUUCUCUCACGUUCAUAAUAGGUUUGAAUAAAAGGUUCCAGGAAUGGGCGUCUUACCCAAUUUAAAUUUGGUCUCCUAUUCAAAAUCAUCAUCUCAGCUUUGCACAAACACACUAAACAUCAAGCUGUUUCAAACGUAUUCAAAUUUCCUGUGGAGGAUCAUGUGGGGAUGAGAACUGGUCUCAGAAUAUCACUGAAUAGUUUUCACUGGAAAGGUCCACAGUAACCCGGGUCAUAGGCAGUACAUCAUGAAGGCUCAUUAUUAGUUUUUGUAUUUACCAGGUUUUUCAUCAUAAAUUUGUGUCCCACGGUGAGACUACUAACAUGAAUUCUGCUGUGCCAGGAGGUCUGAAGAUAAGCAAAUUAAGCAAAAAUGACAUGAACUGUGGGGUAAGCAGUUGUAUGCUGGUGGGCAUUGUUUCUUUCCUUUUCUUUUUUCUUUUUGGUUCACAUCAACAAGAUCUUAGUUUGUCCCUUCCCCAAUCUGCAAGACUUUGUUUUUAGAGUCUUGUUCCUCAAACAUGUUAAUCACACUGAUCUGUGAGUGUAAAAGUUUGGAAAACAGCCUGCAAAAAAACAAGAACCCCCCCCCAAAAAGCAAUAAAACAAACAAACAAACAAACAAAAAUCCAUGCUCUUUCAUUUUUUACCAUGCUGUUAAUCACUGUAUUCCUUUCAGAUCAUUAAAUAAAUACUCAUUGGUAAAAGUAUGUGUUUUGGGUUUUGUGCUUCUUUAAUAUUUUGAUAGAGAUAAAAAAAAUCUUUUUGUUAUGUAACAAAG
rnacentral:lncRNA from 1 species